rnacentral:piRNA from 1 species
UGGCCAAAUCGUGCAUGCGCACCUUGUUUUC